UUAUUUGGUUUUUACUCUUUAUUAAAUCUGCUAAUUUAUUAACACAGAAAAUUUAUUAGCUUUAAUAACUUGUCCCGCUAAAAUUUGAAAGGAAUAUAGAGGGUGCAAAGAUUUAACGUUUUUCUAGUAGGUGGCGAUACUUACAAUUACGGUCACACGAAUUAGUCGGAAUUGUAAGCAUGGCUCGCUUGUGUAUGCUUUCUCGUUUUCAUUUUAAUCAUAUUUUUGUGUUAAGUUGCGUAAUUAAUCAGAAAAGAAACAUCUGUUUGUUUGUUAGAUGUAAGUAAAUUAGAAUUAACAUUUAGAAUUAGAAUUUACGUAUUAUCAAUUUCGAAAUUUACAUGUUACAGUAUACAAUUCAAGCUCGUUUUACCGCUAUUUACAGAUAUAAAUUCUAACUUUUAUACUUUCAGCAUUUCCCCAACAGGUGGCAGCACCUUGAACUACGGUCACACGAAUCAGUCGCAGUUAUACUUGUGCGUUUGCUUGCGUGAGCUCUUAACUUUUCAUUUCAAUUAUAUUUUUGUGUUAAGAAGAGAAUUGUUAAUCGAAGAAAAAACGUUUACUUCCUUCGUUAUACAUAAAGUUUGAGAAAUAGACGCAAUAAACGAUGGAGCUUCGUGCAUCCCAAUGUCCGUAGUUUGAACAAAGAAAUCUUUAACCUUGAAGCUGCUUUGUGAGAGAAUGUUGUACUUUACAGGGGCGAACAAAAAUCUGAAGGCUGCGAAACGUCGAAAGAAAACGAUCGACGUCGACACGUCUGAAGUUGCACAUGUUUUAUCUCGUCGGGAUGUAACAUCAACUUCUUCUCUUCUCUGAGAAAGAAGCGAAUUCCACGAAGCGAGGUCCAGUUCGAGGGCUGUCCAGACCAACGAAGAAGUUGCUGACGCCAUAUUCCCCGCGAUCUCCCAUCGAGAGGACCUCGGGAGAGGUUCUUCGUCGUUCCACCAUCUAUCAUCUUCGGUACGUUCGCAAGACGCUGUACGCUCUCGCGUCGUCUUGCGCGAUAAAACGAUCGAGAAACCUGGCGGAGAGGAUCGUCGCAGACGGGGGCUACAUUCCGGCACGGUCGUCGUGUAAUUUGGAUAAAUACUUGCGGCGGUUCGCGGUCCCGGGAAUGGCCAGUUCAAACCGCCUGACACGGGAUAUUUAAGCCGCAGACUCUGUUGUGCGGCUCGAAUUACCUAAACGCAGGAAUUCUCCGAUUGCGAAUGGGACCGGUUAAUGGGCAGGUGCUGCGCUAUUUCACUGGAUUACUAUGCCACUCCACUAUACCACCCUCUUUUCUCAAUGUUUAUAUCGGAAAUUGUCCAUCGAGAUAGGGAGGAGGAGCAUCGUUGCAAAAAUUCGAAAUUGAACUCGCUCCGGUCGUGUUCAAUGGACGUUUCUGAGCGUGUCGGUAAGAGAUGUAAAAAUAUUGAGAAAAUAUAAUAAAAUUA